UCAGCCACGCGAUGCCUGCCCCUGCCUGAAGGCGGGAAGUCAAGGUCACGCAUUCCCCCAGACAGGCCAGGGUGCGCGUGUCACGCGUGUGUGGUGCCUCUGACCCAACAGCGUCACUAAGUCCCUCCAGGGCUCAGGAACCCGUGGGGUAAGUGGCGGAACGGUCACCAAGGCCGUAAGUGGAGCGGUUUCUGCCGCCGGAGCUCACCCUGCCCGGGCGUCCCUCCCUGGGGUCGGAGGCAGCUUCCCUCCCAGCCGCCCCGAAGGCUCCCGUGGUUCGCUGGCGGCUGGAGGAACAAGCGUCCUGCAGCCCAAACUGCCUCUCCCAGCAGCUCCCCAGGGGCCGCCGUCAGACUGGUGACUAUGAUCACCGCUCGCCGGCGGCCACUUCCCCACGGAAGGCAGACCGAAGCGACCCGCCCUCUGCCACCGGCGGAGCAACGCCAGGCCAGAAGGAGCAUGAGCGCGCGAAGAGGUGCUGGUGCUGUCCCACCUUUCCGCCCAAGCCAUUAUGACGACAGAGGCGAUAGUACUGUUCGCACGGAGAACCGCGGCCACGUUUAUUUGGGCACAUCUGGGGUGGAAUGCUGACUGCAG